CGUGUGAAGACAGACGAGGGUAAAGACCAUCGACUUUUCCUGCGCGACUUUAACCGAGCAACGACUCCGAGCGACACACUUAAGCCCGCACGGGCUGCUCCUUCCAACCCCUGGUUAUCCGAGGUUCUUCGUGAACAUCGGACUACACUCAGAGCGGCAGAGAGAAAAUGGCGCAAAUCAAACGAUCUGUCGGACCUCAAACGACAAACUGGAUGCUAAACAGUCAGGUUUCAG